rnacentral:lncRNA from 1 species
GUUAAAAAAAAAAAAAUUAAAAAAAAAUUAAAAAAAAUCGCUCAAAAUACCUUCAAGGCUUGCGUUGGUCUUACAGCUGCUUAUUGCUUUCCAUGAAAAAAGAAAAAGAAAAAAUGGGAUCACGAGCAGACAUAAAAUGGCGAUGAGGUUAAUGAAUUCCAUCAGAUUGAAAUUCCUAACGACUUCUUCAUCUUCUCAACUUCCAAAUACACGGUUGAAUAAGGCAAGAACUCGGAGAAGUAACCUUUGCUCAGAUCAUUUAUUGCAACUGCGAGUUUAGGAAUCUCCAGUGUUUCCUCGUGGGUCAAAGUCCUGACGAACCUUGCAGGAUUCCCUGCCCAAAGCUCGCCACUUGGUAUUCUCCUUCCUGGAGGAACCACAGAUCCGGCUUCAAGAAUAGAAUGUGUUUCAAUCAAAGAACCCUCCAUAAGGAUUGAGUGCUGACCAAUAAUGCAUCCCCAGCUACCCCUGAACUUUUGAGAGUUGAAACGGGAUUAAAAUAUCUUGAUUUUUUGCUUACAUACUUCUUUAUUUACCUUCAUUAUUAAGCAUAAAACAAAAGAGUUGUGGCGGCUUCGAGUUGUGACCAUGUUCUCCUUUCCUACAUCAAUUCCCCGAUGGGACUUGGCAAGAAAACGCAGGGCAUUCCUACGUGUCAACCCUGAUAUAUAAACCAAAGAUCUUGAGAGUAAGUUCCAAAUGUUCCAGUUUUGAAUUAGAAGUGCGACCUAUAGAGCACAAUUAGAAGUAUAUUUAAAUGUGGGGCAACUUCUUCUACAUAUAGCAGACACGGUUAGAAACUUGGAUAUCUUAUUCUUGAGCUGUGUUUGGUAGGCCAACUAAUCUUCAAGAUGUGCACAAUAAUGGAGUGCUUCUCUAUGCUCUGACUCCAGCUCAUGAGACACUAGUAGUUGGCCUACAAUUCAUCAAAAAACCGUAUGACUCGUCUAGCAAAUUGAAGAAUUUUGCUGUUUUACUAGGGGCUCGGGUUCUGAAGAAUUUUGCAGUUUUACCAGGACCCCUACCGAUACUCACAGCAGGUGUGUCCCCACCUAUAUAAAAAAAUUACCAGAAAUCCCCCCCAAGCCCAUGUUGUGAGUAUUCAGUAUGAGUUCUACCCUGUACCCCAAACUCUUCUCUAAAUUGAAUUCCGUAAAACUGAUAGUAUUAAAGAAGAAAGAGACACAAAAUCUUGUCAAUAACAUUGUGUAGUCCUAUAAAAUACUGUGUAUGGUGUACCAAGCAUGCGAUACCUUUGCAGUGCAAAUCCUUUGACUGCAACAAUUCACACACACAUUAAUGGCAAGCCCCAGCAAGGCAAAAAAUUCCCACCGAGAAAAAUAAAAAAAUAAAACCAAUAUUGACGAGUAAACCAUUUCAUAUCCCAUUUAUUUGCACAACCAAUUACAUAAGCAGGUGUUAAAAAAAAAAAAAUUAAAAAAAAAUUAAAAAAAAUCGCUCAAAAUACCUUCAAGGCUUGCGUUGGUCUUACAGCUGCUUAUUGCUUUCCAUGAAAAAAGAAAAAGAAAAAAUGGGAUCACGAGCAGACAUAAAAUGGCGAUGAGGUUAAUGAAUUCCAUCAGAUUGAAAUUCCUAACGACUUCUUCAUCUUCUCAACUUCCAAAUACACGGUUGAAUAAGGCAAGAACUCGGAGAAGUAACCUUUGCUCAGAUCAUUUAUUGCAACUGCGAGUUUAGGAAUCUCCAGUGUUUCCUCGUGGGUCAAAGUCCU